GGAGCGCGGGCAGACGAGGAGGGCGGGGGAGAGGAGAAGGAGGGCGCAGGACGGAGUGGAGAGAGAGAGAGAGAGAGGGAGGUUUGGGAUUGGGCGGCGACAGGUCCAGGUCGGGGUGCGGCGGCAGCAGAAGAAACGGGUCGGCCGGCGACGGCGUGGCGUACGAGCACACGUCCCCGCUCUUCCCCUUGGUGGCGGGCGGAGGCCUCGCGCUCUCCACUCCGUCGCGGGCCUAGGUGCCGCCGUAGCUGCGCGGCAGCAGCUGGACUCGGCGGUACCAGAGUGGGACGACACGAGGAAGGGGAGGUGCCGAGGAUCGAGCCCGUUGUUGUUCGGUAGAGUUCUCUCACCUAAGAGUUCAGUGGGGUAGAGUUCCCCGUUCCACCGCAGCCAACUCCAGGGUAGUUUAAGCCAGUGAUGCGGCUUAGACGACGUCACCAGCAGCUAGACGACAAUACCAGCAACUAAAUGUCUAAGCAGGUCACAACAACCACGGAGGAAAUUAGACUGGGCCAACGCAGAAGUAAGUACCUAAACGUCUAAUUAGGGAGAAGAGGAGGAGGAAAAGCCAUGAGAAGACAAUCUCACGAUCCGUAUGUCGCCGUACCGGUUCCCGAGAAAAUCCGAACUGGUACACAAACCGGCCGUUCCCGGAAAACAACAAACAGAACGGAGACCAUUUCCGGUUUCCACGGUAACCAACAAAAACCACGCCAUAUCUAAAUACAGAAAAGAAGAAACAUACCAGGACCAUCCCGGACAUUAACGACGAGGAAACAACCACCUCACAACCACCAAAACGACGAAAGCCAGAUCGAUCCAAGGUUCCUUACCCUAUAAAUAUAAACAGAACAAGACAACUAACGAAUAAUACGCCGACGUGUAACCUAGAUCGACACAAGAAUUACUUUAUACCGAAACAACACAUCCUUUCUCAAUCCGGACGGUUCAAAGAACCCCAACACACUACUCAUGAUAAGGAUCUUUACGAAAUCACAAAAUCACACGGGAAAAACUAACUAUAAAAACUUCUUAUUUACCUUAACGACUGCCGGUCUCGGAUUUUGUCUCCUUACCUCAAGAACCUAGGUAUACCAAAACAUUUUAUCUCUUUAACUCAAGAACUCCAAUAUAUUAUUAAUCCGGACGGAUCCUCCACGAAAUGACAAAAAGGGGAGAAAACCAAUCAUGAAAACCUUAUUAUUUACCUAGAAGACUCUCUACUGUCGAUCUUAUUUAAGUCUACAGAACCUCAACAUCAUAUACCUAGACCACUCUCGACUCCCGAUUUUAUAUAAUACAACAGAACCUCAACAAAAACGGUAGACUAUUAAUCCUGGACAGGUCCUCCACACAACAACAAAGUUAACACAAGGAAAACUAACCACAAUAAACUGCUUAGUUACCUAGAACACUCCCUACUUACGAUUUUGCCUAAGUCAGCAGAACUCCAACAUUAUAUACCUAGACUACUCUCUACACCCAAUUUUAUCUAAAUCAAUAGAACCUCUCAAAAAAUAAAAAGACAACACCAUUUACUCUAUCGUGCAACGACGUACGAAAAUCCAAGAACUAUCAAUCACACCCAGUAACUUAAACACGAGACGGCACUUUUACGCGACCACACUGGGAUCGGUACCACCGCGGGGAGAAGGGUACAAAUCCACGAAGGAGAGAGGUACGGGAAGGUAGACAAGUAGAUUGAAGGAGGGGGAGGUGAGGACCAGCUCCGUGUGCAGCAACUACGAGACGAUAUAGUUCGUCGGGAGGUGAAGUCAAUAAAACGAACCACUAUCUAUAUCAAGUGAAACAGAUAUUAGAAGUAAAGAAAAAAAAACUCAAAAAAAGUUGAUGUAUCCAAUCACAAAUCAAAGGUUCCUUCCGUUCACAAAUAAAUAAGUUGUAAAUUAUUGUUGUACAUAAUGUACUACACUACGGACUCACACUAAAACAUCCGUUCUGUAGUUGCCUUUCCACAACCCUACAGUGGAAAUGACGGAUUUACGAAGAUUUCAAAGGUAGCCGCAAGUUGCCCCCAAACCUCUCUAGGACUGGUCGACUUGACUGUUGGGGCGAAUGAGGACGUUGGAUUCCUAAGGUCGACAAUAAAGUCAAUUACGAACCAACUCGGAUCUCUUAUUGUAUAAUUGUACCUCUUGAUAAGUACACCACUAGGGGUUUUGAAAGAUUAUCAAGACACCUCAUCCUUCCGACCGUACUCAAACAUCUUGUUAGAACUUGUGAAGAGUUUGAUCUGACUGGUAAUAUCAAACGUCUUGUUCCAUUACAGUGGAGACUUUCAAUCCACAGAGAAACACGAAGUAAAAGUCAAUAUAACCAUAACGCGUAUAGACCAGUUCCACUUUAACUAUGAUCGAGAAUCGAGACCAGUUCCUCAAUGAGUAGACAGCCUACUGAUUUAGAACAACAUGUAUUCCCAGUCAUUUUCUUGACAUAAGAAUGACACUACUACAGGUAUACCGUGUGAGUUACCUAUACAGGUAGUUGUCCAUAAAUGUUGCGUCUCAGUCCGCUGUUUCGUCAGUCUGGUUUGAUAGAGAUAGGUAUAUAUACAUCAGACUACAAUACAGUAUCGGCUUGGUAUAUUCAAAGAAUAUGACGAGACGAAAACUACAUAAUCUGAAGAUAGGUAACAUUACUUGAACAACAGCCCCCCUAGUGAUACCGAACUAAUAUACCAUACUUCAAACCCAAACCAAAACUCGAGUCGACAUAUUUUCAUGUACGAAUGUUGGUAUCUAUGUACACUAUUCAGUAACUCACUAAUUCGUAUCAAAACCUAAACCGCACGACCUGGUUAAUCUACCUGUCCCGUUGAAGUUAACUUAGUAGGUAACGUAUCGGCACGUUUGACACAACCACAUUCUAUAAAAGGAUAUAGCAAUUAGUACUAGAAUACUUGGUGAGCUUUGAAACAUAACAUAAAACCCAUGUAAACGAAGAAAACUCUUUCAAGAGAAUUCCUAUACAGUAUUAGUACAUAUCCCCCUACCUAUUCAAUCCCGGCCCCCCACGCCGUUCAGCGUGUAGGAUAGAUCAUAGUCGAUGGAGGACGUUGCCCUCGCUGAACAGGUCGUAGGUAGAGAGGUGUGGUAGCGGUCGCAGUCGAGAGGUAUAGGUUUAUUGCUCACGCCUGAGCCCGGAGUCACGAUGAAAUCCGCGCUUCUGGUGUGUCUCGGAAGGUAGGAACCAGAGCGGUCGGCAGUUACAAAGUAAUUGAGAGGUCGCGCCGCCGUAUAGGUAAGCUUUCUUAACGUAGCACCGCCACAAUUCGUGUGCCCGCAGACAGCCGCGAGGUUACCAGGUUAUCUACUUCGGUAAGUGG
rnacentral:rRNA from 1 species